GACGAACGCUGGCGGCGUGCUUAACACAUGCAAGUCGAACGGACUACUUUGCUUCGGUAAGGUGGUUAGUGGCGAACGGGUGAGUAACGCGUAGACAACCUACCUCUUAGAUGGGGACAACAUCGCGAAAGCGGUGCUAAUACCGAAUGAAGUGACUUUCCUGCAUGGGAGAGAUACUAAAGGUGGCCUCUAUUUAUAAGCUACCACUGAGAGAUGGGUCUGCGUCUGAUUAGCUGGUUGGCGGGGUAAUGGCCCACCAAGGCGACGAUCAGUAGCCGGUCUGAGAGGAUGAACGGCCACAUUGGGACUGAGACACGGCCCAAACUCCUACGGGAGGCAGCAGGGGGGAAUCUUCCGCAAUGGACGAAAGUCUGACGGAGCAACGCCGCGUGAGUGAAGAAGGUUUUCGGAUCGUAAAGCUCUGUUGUUUGAGACGAAUGUGCCUGUUUCAAAUAGGGAUAGGUAAUGACGGUAUUAAACGAGAAAGCCACGGCUAACUACGUGCCAGCAGCCGCAGUAA
rnacentral:rRNA from 1 species